CUCUGUGACUCCGUACGGGAGGCAGCAGUGGGGAAUAUUGCACAAUGGGCGCAAGCCUGAUGCAGCCAUGCCGCGUGUGUGAAGAAGGCCUUCGGGUUGUAAAGCACUUUCAGUUGUGAGGAAGGUGGUGUCGUUAAUAGCGGCAUCAUUUGACGUUAGCAACAGAAGAAGCACCGGCUAACUCCGUGCCAGCAGCCGCGGUAAUACGGAGGGUGCGAGCGUUAAUCGGAAUUACGUGGGACGUAAAGCGACAUGCAGGUGGUUUGUUAAGUCAGAUGUGAAAGCCCCGGGGCUCAACCUCGGAACUGCAUUUGAAACUGGCAGACUAGAGUACUGUAGAGGGGGUAGAAUUUCAGGUGUAGCGGUGAAAUGCGUAGAGAUCUGAAGGAAUACCGGUGGCGAAGGCGGCCCCCUGGACAGAUACUGACACUCAGAUGCGAAAGCGUGGGGAGCAAACAGGAUUAGAUACCCUGGUAG
rnacentral:rRNA from 1 species